rnacentral:rRNA from 1 species
AGCAGCCGCGGUAAUUCCAGCUCCAAUAGCGUAUAUUAAAGUUGUUGCAGUUAAAAAGCUCGUAGUUGAAUUUCGGGGUUAGUAGGUUGGUCAUGCCUCUGGUAUGUACUGAUCUCACUGAUUCCUCCUUCCUGAUGAGCCGUAAUGCCAUUAAUUUGGUGUUGCGGGGAAACAGGACUGUUACUUUGAAAAAAUUAGAGUGUUUAAAGCAAGCUAACGCUUGAAUACAUUAGCAUGGAAUAAUGAAAUAGGACGAACGAUCCUAUUUUGUUGGUUUCUAGGAUUGACGUAAUGAUUAAUAGGGAUAGUUGGGGGCAUUAGUAUUCAAUUGUCAGAGGUGAAAUUCUUGGAUUUAUUGAAGACUAACUACUGCGAAAGCAUUUGCCAAGGAUGUUUUCAUUAAUCAAGAACGAAAGUUAGGGGAUCGAAGACGAUCAGAUACCGUCGUAGUCUUAACCAUAAACUAUGCCGACUAGGGAUCGGAUGAUGUUAAUUUUAUAAUGA